GGGAUUUAUUUUAUUCAUUCUGGGGGCUUUCACAGCUUUAUGGCUGUUGGAUAUUUAUGUCCCCAAACUUGCAGCAAGUUUGGUGAAGGCCCCUAAAUUUAUUUUAAUUUAGGUUUUUUAUUCUCUUUUGGUAGAUGGGCUCUAUAUUAAUAUUUCUCUUUUUGGUAUCAUUGUGUUUUUAAGAGUCUUAGGGGGAGGGAACAUGUAUUAAGAUAUUUGGGUGCCUUUUCUCUUAAGGGAACAGGUUUCCUUCAGGGCUGCUGAGGUUGUCCAGCCACACUGCCCUCCUCCCCUUCCUCCCUGCAUUGCAUUUGUGCUGUAUUCGGGGCUUUUUUGGUAAUGUGAUGUUGUGUAGUCUCUGAAUUAGUAGCACGUGAAUAUCAGUUAUCAGUGUUUCCUCUUCUGGGGAGAAGUAUCUGUUGAAGUCCUUAAAAUACUUAGGUUUUAACUAGUAAGUGACAUUCAUAGUCACAAAAUGGUAUUGCCUAAAUUACAGAAUACAAUUUCUUUGGAGGCCAUUUAAGAUGUUAAUAUGCUGCAUAAUAGUGAGCUGCACCACAACAAAUAUUAAUGUAGAGCCCGAUGAAGAAACAAAGAUUCAAGUUGCUAAGAUAGAAUAGAAGAAUAAGAAAUCGAAGCUGCACUUCUUUCCUUUUGCGGUUUCAGGGAGAACUUUUUGGUCAGCCUCUUACAUACACCAAAGUUGACAAAAUACUGUCUAUUUCGAUGGUACUGAAAGUUGUAGCACUUUUUUGAAACCUGGUGGUGUUCUGUUGCAUAUUUGGUAUUUACUGAUCUGGAGCUCCUUUCACACAGUGACUAGUAAAAACAUUCUACCCUUCGCAAGGAGAACUUGGCUUUAUUGUUGCUGCUCACUCUGUUGCAGAUCUUAUCUUGGCUUUGGAUGCUUGAGGUUGCUUACGACAGCUUUGUCCGAGGAGGUCUUGCAGCCUUUCAACAGGGAAAUAGAAAGUUUAACAAACGCUCGGGUCAGGUUUUACAGCUUAAAAUCUGUGAUGUUUUUCACAAGCAUAGACAGUGUGGCAUUUUUUUAAGACUUUGCUAAAUAAAGACUGCCCCAAUAUGAUUUCCAUUAAUUUUAAAUAAAGGAUAGAAUUGUUAUUCUUAACUUAGUUACAAGAGUGGAUUUCACGUUCCUGUUGUACUCUUCUUUGUUCGUACUCUACCCUUUGCAUUUUUCCUGUAGAAGGCCUGUAGAAGUCAUCUGGUCUGACUGGAGAAUUGACAUGUCCUGCUAACUGUUGCAAAAUGAUCACUGAGCAUGGCAUUGCUUUUCUAAUUCUUACUGUGGUGCUACGCUUGAUAACAGUGAAGAUGAGAACACAAAUUCAAGAUACAGUACUGCAUCUAGCAUUUGUUUCACACAUUUAGUCCAUAGGAGCACUUGCCUUGGCUCUUAUUUUGCUAGAAUGUCUAAGGAAACUGUUUAACCAAAAGUAAUGCACAGUAUGUCUUGCACUUCUUGCUUUAAGUAUCUGAAUCUCUUAGAGACUCAAGAUGUUUAAGAAGCAAGCUUCAAAUACCCAAUACUGAACUUUAUCAGUUUCUGUUUAAGACCGAUGCAGCACCAGGUAGUUUUCAUCCAGCUGCUCAUAUUCAUCUUGUUCAAGCACACAAAGCUAAACAUAUGUAUGCUGUCUAGUGGUCAGUGGAGAACCCUACUUAGAUCCACACUUGGGUUAUGUCUUACAAAUUGAUUUCUUGGUGAGAGCUAAGAGUUCUCAGAUUCAGAGAAAUGGCUUUGAUCUGUUUUUGUUGAAGAUAACUAGGUUUGAUGUGUUCAUGGAUAAAAUGUCUCCAAAAUGUCAUUCCUGUUUUCAUUGUGUCUUUGUUUAAGCUCUGUAUACUAAUACUGUGGAGCAAGCAAACCAUUUAUUUGUGUUUUGGCAUGAUUUGUGACCAAAAUUUAGCAUUUCUCAGCACCACAUUGCUGCAGAUUUUUUUUUUCUUGAACCUGCUUUUAGGUAAUUCCACUACCUACUUCUGAAAAAUGCAUUUAAAAUUAAGACAGUUCCAUGGGGUAUUACUGUAUGAAUUAAAGGGCUUGACUUUGGAUUUUCUUUCUACGCUGCAAAUACUGUUUGUAACUUCUGGUGGGAAGUUCACAUAUCCUUCACUUCCAUCUUUUAUGUCCCUGUCCUUUCUGUAAGUCUCUAAAGGACUGGACUGGGCAAAUCUGUUUUGUUCCCUCUUUGGGAGUUGGUAGCUUUAGCAGAUUGCGUUCAUGUUAAUCUGAUCUGUUACCACAGACUAAUGUUUGUGGUUAUUUGAAGCAAGUAAUGUGCAUUUUCUGUUAGCUUUGUGUUUUGUCCUUGAGGAUACACGUGCUGCUGUCUUUCUAAUUACAAGGCAUAAUGGCUCUAUGCUUUUUGCUCGGAGUAUCUCCUCGAGCUGGCCUGUCACCUCUUCAAAACUUGUAAAAUUCCAGCCGAGUGCAAAUGGUUCAUAGUUUGCUCUUCUUGUGAAGUGAUGUUACUGACAUUUUCCUCCUCGUGUGGAUCUAAGGGGGAUGGUUUAAAAAAAAUUGCAUUGUAAACAAGAUUUCCUUAUUUUGAGGGAUGGAAGUGUGUGUUUACUGACUGGUCCUGGAAUUUGAGGGUUUUUUAAGCUUAAGUACAUGACUAUUUUAAGAGGGAAGAAUUACUGAUAUUCUGCUAAUUUGGGUAUUUGCACCAACUGAUUUUAACAAGAGAAGUUAAUGGGAGCUAUGACAAAUAAAGUAUGUAGCACGCAUGAAGUUUUUGGCAUGGUUUAUAAAGUUGUGGCGAGUUCAUAAUGUGUUCUGUGCAUUGCCCAAUAAAGAUUGUAGCCCUUAAAUAAUCUGAGGAAUAGGCUACCUCCAGAAUUUUUUUGAAAGUGUGUAUACUUGCUGUCAAAAUAAUCAGGCCAGUGAAGUAAUGGUAGUGACUGGGUUCUAUCAAAAUGCAGUGAUUAUUGUAUUUUCCUAUAGCAGUUGGGAUAGCCGGACACUAGUCUAGAGUAAGAGAAGUUUUGAGGGAGCCUUUGAAGGAAGGGAUCAAGAUGGAAUUGAACUGGUUCUGUAGUGUAGUGGAUGUAACAUUCUUUUUAAAGUUCUGAAAAAACAGAGUUCUCUUACACUCUGCAAACAGCAGCUUUCUGCUAUCAUCCCAUUGUCAGAGCACGGAGUUGCAUUAAGGCUCUACUGAAGAUGCAGUUUGAGUACAGUGCUUGUAGGUUCUGUUGUAUCAUGAGUGCAUUUUCACUUCAGUCUUGGGAAGGUCUGUUUGAGGGAGCCAGGCACAUUAGCUUGCUGCUCUGGCAGGCAGCCCUGUUCUGUCUUGAACCACAGUAUCCAGGAUGUUCUCCUUAGUCUUUUGUUCCUGGCAUCCUGAUGAAUCUAUAUUGGCUGUCUGUGUAUGAACUGUCUGAGGGCUGGUAUUCAUACACCUGAUCGCUGUUGGGAGUAGUGAGGCUCUUGCACGUUCUGAGCGAGUUUUUGCAGAAAUUUGUAUUUUUGUGGGUUUUCUUGCAGUAGGAACAAUCGGCACUGCUGCUGUUUGGAUGACCACCAUUAAUUUAACUUCUCCAUAAAUGUUGUCUUGAAGUUCUCUUAAGGUUUUUGUUUGUCAGGGCUUUAAAGAAAUUAAAAAGUUUAGAGGAAAAAAAUUAGAAUUGUAAUGCUUGUGUCAUCUUAACUGAAAACAAACGAAUGGGCAACUUUGAGAGCUUGAAAGCUUCCUUAGAAAUUCUCUCUUUAGCAGUGAAAGCAUAUUGCUCUGUCUAACUGCCUUACACCAGAUUCAGGCUUCUGACAGCUCAAAUUUUAUUUCUUAAAUUUUGUCUAAAUCUUUACCAUGUUCCCAGGUGCUGUUCAGAAAGAGGUGUGCGUGCUUGUAGAAUUUCAACUUCUGCCUUUAGCCGCCAAUUAUUUGUAAAUGAUUUUUGCUAACAGCAGCUUCAAAUUACCAGAAAAGAAUGCCAUACAACCAAAAGCAGCUAUUUCGCUUCCUCCCAACUGAGGAAGUUAUGCAAGGCUUUGAAAUAAAGAUGCCAUGCAGAGUGCUUUUCUUUCUCUUUUUCAUGGAGUUACUUGCGUAUAUGUUACUUGCACAGAAUUCUUUAGCUUCUUUCACGUAAAUUUUUGUGGAAGAGAAUACAUUUUGCUCUUUCAUUUAUAAAGUUAGAAUAAGAAAACACACUUUAUGAGGCUGUUUAAUGAAGGAACCUGGCAAUGUAAGUAUUGUAAUUUCCUUUGUUUGUGGUAGGCAACAGGAUUACUUUGUUAAAUUUCUGGGUUCUGAUCGAAAAAUAACAGGAAACUAAGGGCAGAUUGAAAGUAGUUUUAUAGUUGCCUUUACUUCAUAUGCUUUUUAUUAAGCAACAAAUUGCAGUAAUUGAAGUUUGGCAGCUUUUUAAUGAAAAACUAAAUUAUGGAUUAAACUCCUUGGUUUAAUACAAUUUGUGUUUCUGUUAACUAGCAGCAGAAUUUCAGCAUUUGCUACUUACUGGUAGAGAAGAAAAAUUCCACAGCACUGCCAGUACAGGUUAGUUUAAUCUGUAAGUACCUGAUGUUCCUUUUGUGAAAUAAUUUGUUCAAAUGAUACCACUUAAAUACAUGAGGGGAAUUUUGGUCUCUGCAAUGUGAAUGUAUCUGUUAUCUACUACUGUUCUCAGUAGUGAGUGAACAUGUACAUUUUUUUGAAGAUUGGUAAUGGUUUCAACAGCACUUGCAGGUAGGCAAUAUCUGCACCUGCUUCUAAGGAAAACUGAAUUUGGAACCCUAACAAAUAGCCAUAGGUGUUACUGAAAAGCGUAAAGAUACAAAGUCGCAGUCUCCUUCAGUAAUGUGCCAGUUAUAAAAGAGGCUGUUGAUCAGUAAAUCAAUUAAAGGAUACAGUAUUUGCUGUGUUGGGGAAUAAGCAUUUGUUUGUAAAACUCUGUAGCGGUGAUGUAAUCUUUCUUUGGUUUUCUUCAGCUGUUGCUAAUAACUGUCUCCUACCAACAGAUUUUACCUUGUUAGGCCUGUGAGCAAGGAGCUUCUUGUUCUCUUGUUUUUUUGUUUACUUCUUUUUUUUGUUAGCACAUUUCUGCACUUCAGAGGCCGCUUACAAAUGCGGGUUUGCCCAGCCGUUUUAUCUUCCUUCAGAGUUACUGCUCUGCCUCUAUUCUUUUUUCUCCUGUCCUAUAUUACAUAUUCCCAGAAAUUUUGGCAUUUUGUUUUUAUUUUAUAGAACACUUUUCACAUCAAACAAAAAUAGAAAAGCUUCUUUAUGAUUGGGUAAAAGAUGCAACCAUCUCCAGAAUAGCUGCAUACAUUUAUUUUUUUUAUUUAAGCUUUAUGUAGCCCAGAGCAUAGUUUCGCAGCUGGAUGAGCUGUAAAACUCUGCUUUAACACGCUUCUCAAGGGCAUGUUAUCACACAGUGAAACUGAGGGGCUUUUGACAUCAGUAGUGGGUAGUUCUGUAGAAAUUAGGUAUGGAAAAGAUCAUCUCCUAGUGUGGGAGCUGAGCAGACAGUUCAGUUUGGCCAGCUCAUCUGCAGGGUCUGGAGUGCUUCCAUUAGUGGCUUGACACUUGCAGCAGUAUUGCUGAUUUUAGAAUGUUGACAUCUUGCGUGACACGGCAGAACUCAUCGUACCAAAACAGGAAAUUAAAGAGGUUUUACCAUAGCUUAAUACAUGAAGCCCAUCUUCUGGCAUCUGUUCUCAAUGCUAAAUUGUUUUGUCUACAAAACAAGCUAUGUGCAAAUUUUUGAAUAGUGUUGUGUAGGUGUUUCUCCUUAGACAAAAACAAUGGAAAGUGGUGUAAUAAAAUUUAUAACUUACCUUUACCUCUGUUUCCUAAAUCUUAAUGGCAGAUACGCUCGAAUAACAGAGAUGCCUUAAUGUGAGGCUGUUGUCAGAUUAACAGAACGUAUGCAUCUUUUUCCAACUUCUGUGGUUGACCCUAGUUGAUGCUUAAUGCAAUGCUUGGUAAUAAGUCCCCAUGAGUAACUGAUUGCUUUUGGCUGCUUUGUGAAGUCUCAGCUUAGACAGCAGUUGUUUGCUGACCCAUACUACUUGUGCACCAGUUUGGCAGUCGAUGGGGAUAACUAAAGGGCAGUGGUUCUCUAGUGUCUUAUCAACAAAAGACUGUGUUUGCCCAGAGUGGAUCCUAAUAUGAACUCUGGUAGAAUGUCAUCUCUUUGUGAAACUUAAUGGCAAUUAAUUACAGUACUUUUUGGUAAACUUAAGUUUAUUUUCUUUUGAGACCAGACCAAAAUAAUACUAGGAAUUUGAGCUUUCGUAACCAGGUGAGUCUUAAGCUGUAGCUCAACUUCUGAUACACCGUUACAGCAGCUGUCCAGUCUAAUGUAGCUCAGAAGUCUUCCUUCCCAGUUCCGAUACUCUCUAUAUGGAACAGUGAGUUAUUUCAUUCAAUUUUCUUUAGAAUUCUGCUUAAUGACUCCAAAUCAGCCUUUCAGGAAUUCUGUUCACUGGCAAGUGCGGACUCCAGACUGGUUUUAAUAUCUACUGAAAGUACCCUGAAACACCCGAUCGUUCUCUGCCAGUGGCCGUACAGCCACAGAAGUUCGUGUGGCCUGAAGUUUUUUCUGUAACUCGGUACUUUUGUGUAAGUCAUAUGAAAAGGAGGGGAUCUUUCAUCUUUUUUCAAAGGACAGGUGGCAAAAUAUUGAUGUUGAAUUUCAUUCGAGAAAGUGAGAGACUGGUAAGUAUGUGCAUCACUUUAAUGCAUGCAAAUCAUAGUAAUAGUAACUAGCUUAAUUUCAUAGCAUUCAGUUUACAAAGAAGAUUCAAAGAAGAUACGGAGCUGACAGCGCUGGCAUCAUAGGGAACCUUGUGUGAACUGUGCUUCAGGAAUGGAUCAUUCCACAUAUACACAUCUGUAAUGUAUGUCUACCACUUUGUAACAAUGUCUGAUUAAAAAGAAGUGAACCGCUGUUCCUGUGUGUUUUUUCUCCUCUUGAGAACCAAUUUAAAUUAUUAUUGCAACAAGUGUAACUUGUCCUGAAGUUUGUGUGAGUACAGGAUCCACCUUCACUCAUGUUACGGUUUAAACAACUUUGUACCAGCUCUCUGUUUUAAGAUAAAGCUCACAAGAACGAGUUUUUUUGCAUUUUAUAGACAAAGCGCUUCAUAUUGGGAGACAAGCAAAUGAACGCUGACUUCUUAACCUGUAAUUUCCUUUUGCUGCUCAUCUGCUCUCCUCCUGCUGAACUGACUCUACCAAGAUAUGGACUGUUUUAAGUUGGAAGAGUGAGGAGGAGUGUGGAGGAAAAAUACUUUAAUAGCAGUUUUAUAAAACCUGGUAGAGAGGGUGUGCUGCCAGGUGGUCUGUUGUAAAUGCUUAAAGAAAGCUGGAGAGAUGAGGUAGCUUGGAAGAUGCGUGUCCUUGCAGGUCCUGUCUACAGGACAGGGAUGAAUCACUGCUGGGCUGGUUGGUGUUGCUUAGCUGCCAAUGUUUAGAUGCAUUUUUAAGAGGUGGUAGAAGAUAAAAUUAGUAUUUUAAUGCUACGCUACGUGGGAACAACUAAAGGCAUUUGGAGUAGGAUGCGUGUAAUGAAAAGGAAAUUCAUCCUUAGUAGAGGACCCUUCAGGGAAGACUGCUGCUUUGCAUGAGCUCCUCACUGGACUUUGUCCUCUGUCCCUCUCGGCCCUAGGGGAAUCUGAUGUGGCAUUUGGAAAAUGAGAGCUGUUUUGUCCCUAAAGCUAGCUGCGGCAAAGGGGGUUGUGUUGCCUGGGCAGUCCCAAGUUUGAGUUACCAGACUCUGUGAGAAUUUGAGUGUGACUUGAUAAAGAAUAAGAAGGAUGUGUCUGUACUUUCUGCCUCAGCAGCUUGUUCUGCAACGUGGGACCUGGAGUCCAAGUCUGUAGGUUUGUGCUUUUUCUCUACUUUUUCUUUCCUGUGGGGCACUGGGCGGAGGGUUGUGUUUCUAAUAUCCUGGUAAGAGUUUGGAUCCAAGCCUUUAGUUUCUGAGAGGUAGAAAAUGAGAUCUCUGAAAGGCAGGGCCCCUGCUUGGCCCUCAAAGGAAAGACGAGUCUGCAGGCUGUGGGCUACAGGGCAAAGGGUGGCAUCCAGUCUGGUACCUGCUGGCAAGAGGGAGAGAAGUUACAGCACAGACCCUCUUGACCAAGUUCUCUGGCUUUAAUUUUCACCAAAGUAACAGUUGCUUUGGAAACAAAAGCCAGGCUUUUGCCACAGCGUUUGAGCGGGUUGUGGAAGCUGCUAGCCGGAUCUCCCAGGCAAAAAGCGCAGCCCUCCAGGAGUCUGCUUUGCUGUUGUGUUUCACGGGUUGAGGGCAGGGGAGGGAGACAAGUAUUGCCUGGCCAGCAGUCACAAGCUUGAUGUCUGCUUCCUGAGGCCAGAAAGUGAAGGCUUGGACUAGAUCAACUAAUCUUGUUUGAGGCUUCAUUUGUUCUGAAUUUAUAGUGGCUUGCAAUUUCUUUUACAGUUUUUGGCUGUGCCCAGAUCUUGACCGGAGUUGGAAAAGCAAAUCAUCCAUUGCUACUGUUAGAACUACAUCUUCAGCUCAGCUCUGUACCAGUUCAGCAUGUGUCCGUAGCCCAUCCAGCUCCAUCCCUGCUCGUGAUGGUCCAACAGCGAUGCUCGCAGCCUCCGAGUUCAGGCGUCUGCACGGCCGGCAGCGGCGGGGCUCUGCGCAGGCACUAAGGUUGUAGCUGAGGGAAGGCGAGGAGCAAUCACUGCCCAGGACCACGGCUGGGCAAGAGGGCUUACCUUGCGGAGCUGUGGUAACUGAGCUGCCUCCAGGCUGUCCUGCCGGAUCCUGCCUGCAAGGGAAGUGUUUCCGAAGGAGGUGAGAGAGGGAGGAAAAUGCUCCAACCUGCUGCUCCCUGGGCUGGACUCUGAGCUGGACUGUUGCUGAGUGGUGCUGCCUUUCCCCUGGGGUGACUGCAGAGAGUUUCGGUUUGGGUUUUCUCCCCAGGCAGCCCCACCCCACCUGCUGCCCUCCUCUCAGCUGCGCGCUCGCUCCAGGCCAGGGCCCCUGGAG